AGGUGGUUAGUUUAAAGGUAAAACCUUGUUUUUACACAGCAAAGUUCUCAGUUCAAUUCUGGGACCACCUA